rnacentral:rRNA from 1 species
AUACGAAGGGGGCUAGCGUUGUUCGGAAUUACUGGGCGUAAAGCGCGCGCAGGCGGUCUUCCAAGUCAGUGGUGAAAGCCUGGAGCUCAACUCCAGAACUGCCAUUGAAACUGUUAGACUUGAGUACGAGAGAGGUGAGUGGAAUUCCCAGUGUAGAGGUGAAAUUCGUAGAUAUUGGGAAGAACACCAGUGGCGAAGGCGGCUCACUGGCUCGUAACUGACGCUCAGGCGCGACAGCGUGGGGAUC